GUCGAGGGGUAUAGGUUUUCGGACCUAGAGACCGGCGCACGGGUGCGUAACGCGUAUGCAAUCUACCUUUUACAGAGGGAUAGCCCAGAGAAAUUUGGAUUAAUACCUCAUAGUAUUAUUGAAUGGCAUCAUUUAAUAAUUAAAGUCACAACGGUAAAAGAUGAGCAUGCGUCCCAUUAGCUUGUUGGUAAGGUAACGGCUUACCAAGGCAACGAUGGGUAGGGGUCCUGAGAGGGAGAUCCCCCACACUGGUACUGAGACACGGACCAGACUCCUACGGGAGGCAGCAGUGAGGAAUAUUGGUCAAUGGGCGCAAGCCUGAACCAGCCAUGCCGCGUGCAGGAUGACGGUCCUAUGGAUUGUAAACUGCUUUUGUACAGGAAGAAACAGUUCUACGUGUAGAACCUUGACGGUACUGUAAGAAUAAGGAUCGGCUAACUCCGUGCCAGCAGCCGCGGUAAUACGGAGGAUCCAAGCGUUAUCCGGAAUCAUUGGGUUUAAAGGGUCCGUAAGCGGUUUUGUAAGUCAGUGGUGAAAGCCCAUCGCUCAACGGUGGAACGGCCAUUGAUACUGCAAGACUUGAAUUAUUAGGAAGUAACUAGAAUAUGUAGUGUAGCGGUGAAAUGCUUAGAGAUUACAUGGAAUACCAAUUGCGAAGGCAGGUUACUACUAAUGGAUUGACGCUGAUGGACGAAAGCGUGGGGAG
rnacentral:rRNA from 1 species